rnacentral:lncRNA from 1 species
UAAUUGGUACGCGAAUUAUCGCACCCUGGGCCUUUAAUCCUAGGUUAACGCAAAUUUCAAAGCAAUCUUCCCAACAUUCUGUUUAGAAACAUGAAGAUAGUUUUCCAAAAUUCAUGUCUGGAUCAAUAGAAGUUUUAUUUUCCAAAGUUUUGAAAUGAAUAGAUGUGCAAAUGUACCGAAACUAAAACAGCGAGUUAAAUUUU